AUUGAACGCUGGCGGCAUGCUUUACACAUGCAAGUCGAACGGUAACAGGGAGCUUGCUCCGCUGACGAGUGGCGAACGGGUGAGUAAUGCGUCGGAACGUGCCGAGUAGUGGGGGAUAACGCAUCGAAAGGUGUGCUAAUACCGCAUACGUACUGAGGUAGAAAGUGGGGGACCUUCGGGCCUCACGCUAUUCGAGCGGCCGACGUCUGAUUAGCUAGUUGGUGAGGUAAAGGCUCACCAAGGCGACGAUCAGUAGCGGGUCUGAGAGGAUGACUCGCCACACGGGGAGUGAGACACGGCCCAGACUCCUACGGGAGGCAGCAGUGGGGAAUUUUGGACAAUGUGCGCAAGCCUGAUCCAGCCAUGCCGCGUGUCUGAAGAAGGCCUUCGGGUUGUAAAGGACUUUUGUCCGGGAGCAAAUGCUGGUGGCUAACAUCCACCGGAGCUGAGAGUACCGGAAGAAUAAGCACCGGCUAACUACGUGCCAGCCGCCGCCGUAAAAC
rnacentral:rRNA from 1 species